rnacentral:rRNA from 1 species
AUUAAUUUGUGUUAAUAAUAUUUAGAUAUUGCAUAUCAUUUUAAGAAAAUUUUAUUGUUAAUAAAAUAUAGAAAUGGUAGGUAGAAGAUUCUUUUAUUUUAUUGUUUCAUAAUAAAAAUUAAGAAUUUUGGUGUUGAAAAGUCGGCUACCGUGAUAUUUGUGUUAGAUUUGGUAUUAGAAAUUUAUAUUGUUUAGUCAGUAAUUGAUAUAAUUUUAAAAUUUGAAGUGUUUUUAUUACUAGUUUUAUAACUAAUUAUGUGAUUAAAUUAAGUUUAUUUAAUAUUUAUUAAUUCUUUAGUAGAUAUAUUAUUUAAAAAUUAGUAAAUUAAUGAAUGAGUUGUAAUAAUGGUAAAUUUAAUAAAAAAAUUAGGUAUUUAAUCAAAUGUUUUUUAAAGACUUAGACUUUAUAUUAAAGUUUGCUUCUGCCCAGUGAUAAAUUAAAUGGCAGUCUUAGCGUGAGGACAUUAAGGUAGCAAAAUAAUUUGUGCUUUUAUUGAGUUCCAGUAUGAAUGAAGUUAUUGGUUAAUGAUUUUUUUAUUUUGUUUUUGAAUUUAUAUAAAUAUAAAAAAUUAUUUAUAUAGUUAAACAAAGAUAAGUCUUCGGAAAUUCUUUUUAGUUUUAUUGUAUUUCAAUAAUGUUAAAAUUUUCUAGGGCAGAAUAAUAUAUAUUAAAUUUAUUUCUAUUAAUAAUUUAAUGAAUUACUCCGGAGUUAACAGAAAAUCAUACUUAAUCUAGUUCUUAUAGUAGAGUAAGUUUUACAUCGAUGUUGUAUUUGAAUAUAUUAAAAAAGGAGAAGAUUUAAAUAUUAAGACUGUUCUUCUUUUAAUUAAUUCAACGUGAUAUUAGUUUAAUUCA